CACAGUCCUCUGUCCACCUGAGAAACAAAGUAUCUUUCUGUUGAUUUAUGUGGGAUCAUUUCAGUAGUUUUCCCAAAGUGAUAAUUUUUCUGCAUUUUCUGGCUUUUAUUUUCUUGGCUGAAAGUAAGAGGUGGCAGUGAGGAAUGUGCAGGGACUAGUGAUUCGGUCCUGUCUGUUUCCCUGUGUUUUAGUGAUUAAAGAGACGUUCUGUACCCAAAGUGACACAAAGGCGUAGUCUACAUUUUUGCUGUUCCAGGCGCAGCCCGGAAGGCGCGCCGGCGCCCACGGCGUCUUUCCUGCCCGCGAGUCUCCUCCCAGAGGGCCUGGGGGGCGGAGAGGGGCGCGGCCGAGUCCGCUGGCCUCCUGGAGUCCGGCCUCCGGGACAGCGGCGGAGGACGGCCAGCCUAAAUAACGGCGUGCGGAGCGCGGAGACGGGCUUUCCAGCCAGUAUGUUUUGAUUCGCUUUUCUCGAAUGGUAAUUCCCGCAUGAUCCACUUCUGUACGGCGCCUUCUGACUGUUACAGACUCUCUACUACCUCUGCCAGUCUGCUGUUUCCUUGUUUCCUAACAGGAUUUUUACAGUGUUGCGUCUAAUGUAACUUAGACAAUAAAGGGUUUGGUUGUCUACAC